UCCUGCCUCAGCCUCCUGAGUACACCUGGGACAACAGGGCUGCUAUACUGUACAUCUCCAGGAAGAUAAACUAUUCCACAGAGCAGGAGGUUAUUUGUAUCACUGCAUCCUCACCUCUCUCUGUGAAAGGAAACACAGUCAGCUAUCUCCUAAAGUUGCUUAUCAUUGCAGUUCUAAUCCCUAGUUGUAUAUCAUAAGUAUACAGGAUACUUUAAGGACAGAAAUGCUUGGGCCUCACCCUAAAAUUAUUGAAUCAGAAAGAACUGAAUUUCCCCACAUGACUGAGGAGUUAGGAAACACUGGGAAUAUAGGAUGAGUGUGGGAGAAGUAGUUAGACAAUAAUCUUGAUAAGUAGCUUAACAACAGUGUACCUUGGUUUCAAUACUAAAAAAUUUGAAAUUUAGUUCUACAUAUAGUGGUAACUAUUAAAGAUGUUCACAAUGUAAUGAAAUAAUCAGACUGACAAGAAAGCUUAACUUGGCAUCAGUGUGGCAGAUAGGCAAGAAGGGUAUGAAGCCUGAGUCAGGGGUAGGAAGCUAUUACAAGCUAAGGAAUGGAUGGUAAGGACUUAAACUAGGUUGCAGUACAAGCAGGGAGGAAGGAAAUGAGAAAGGACUCAUAAAACAUUGGAUAGGACUUUGAUCAACAAAAUACGUAAGCUGGGUAAAGGCUGAACACCAUAAAACGUUAUUUCCAGGCUAAGCAAAUGAAUCUAGUUUGAUGAUGUCAUUAACCAAAUAGGGAAUAUACUGGAAGGAUAGAAUGGAACAAAUAGAGGAAAUCAAUUGUUUCUAGCUAUGAUUCAACUGAAGUUCUUUGUAGGCCCUUCAGAUGGACCUAGAACAAGAAGAACUUGGAAAUUAAGAUUUGGAGUUCAGAAAAGAAGUUGAAGCCAAAAUCUUAGGUUUGGGAGUCAACAGGGUAUUUGGUAACACUUGAGGACAUUAGAAUGAGGGAAACUGAACAGGGAAUUGUUCAUGUAGAAUCAAAAGUACCUAGCACAAAAUUAAUGAUAAACCAGACUUUCUUGUUAACUUUACUUAACCAUACAAUCUUAAUAAGGCUUACACAUAGCACCAUUAAAAAUAAGCAGAAGUUAAUGUGAAGAACAGUAAUAUAAAAAUUAUCUGCAAACUGUAGGACAACUUUAAAUAUGACUAUUAUAUCUCUGAAAUUAUUUAGAAUCCAUUAGUCUAUUCGUUUGGAAAGACUGUUGUUUAUAGCUUAUAAACAGCACAUUCAUCAAGUUGGCUUCUCAUCUAUAUCAAUACUUCCAUAAACGAAACAAUCAGAUAUUUGGCGACUUACUUCCUACAAAGUCGAGUCAAUAUACAUAAACUAUUAAGUCAACUCAUAAGAAAUAGAGCCAUGUAUUUAAGAAAUGCAACUUCUAAUAUCAAGAGAUUAUCACUUAAAAUGUGUCUAUGUAUGUGUGUACUUGUGUGACAGGCUGUUUUGUAAAACUUCUCAACUUUAAUAAUCGAAAUACCUGAUUGGUCUGGAAUUAUUUUAACAGCAAAAAAGCAAAAAACAAAACCAAACUUAAGUUCACAGGGCCAUGCUACUUCCAGAGGGUGAAUGCCCUUGUUUAGAGUGAGUCUCUGAAAUCUUCAUUUUUAAGAAGUACCUAGGUAAUUAUGAUGCAACAGGUUCAGGAAACUAUAUUUUAAGAAACAUUGCCGUAUAUUAGAUUUACAUUUUAACUAAGACUGUUUAAAAAAUGUUGAGAAAUGUAUAGACUGCAGAAAACUGUUUUAAAUAACAGUGUUAUAUGGUUCAAGUAGAAAAUACAUUUUCUUUAUUCAAAUCAUGUUGACAUUCAGUGUAUUUUGAAAUAUACAUGAAGUUAUACCAAAGCUACAUUUUAAUCGCAUCACAUUCCACUCCAAAUUCUUUACCAUUUACCAAAAAUAACUUUUUAUAAAGCUUACUAUUUUGUCUAAUAUUAUACAGACUAUCAAUCUAUAAUUUUUGUGUUUAUCUC